rnacentral:ncRNA from 2 species
GUGCCGCGUUGAUUGUCCGGUGCCUCGAAGGCCUUCGCCUUCCGGGUUAAACGGGAAGUCGGUGCGCGGUGCCCUCGGGACCCGCAAAUCCGACGCUGCCCCCGCAACGGUAGACGAGUCAAGACGCGGCGAGAUGCCACUGUGAGUCAUCACGGGAAGGCGCCGCGUCCGGGGUUCGACCCCGCUCGUGAGCCCGGAGACCGGCCGGAUGAUCGGGGACCGU